UAGUCCACGCCGUAAACGAUGUAUGCUUGGUGUUAGAACAAAUUGUUGUUCUAGUGCCGGAGAUAAUUCGUUAAGCAUACCACCUGGGAAGUACGAUCGCAAGGUUGAAACUCAAAGGAAUUGACGGGGGCCCGCACAAGCGGUGGAUUAUGUGGUUUAAUUCGAUGCAACGCGAAGAACCUUACCAACCCUUGACAUCCUCAUCGAGAUUUCUGGAGACAGAUUUCGUCAGUUCGGCUGGAUGAGUGACAGGUGCUGCAUGGCUGUCGUCAGCUCGUGUCGUGAGAUGUUCCGUUAAGUCGGAUAACGAGCGCAACCCUUACCCUUAUUUGCCAGCGAUUCGGUCGGGAACUAUAAGGGGACUGCCGGUGAUAAACCGGGAGGAAGGUGAGGACGACGUCAAGUCAUCAUGGGCCCUUACGUAUAGGGGCUACACACGUGCUACAAUGGAGAAUACAGACGGACGCUAAGCCG
rnacentral:rRNA from 1 species